GAAUGCUGACAUAAGUAACGAUAAAGCGGGUGAAAAGCCCGCUCGCCGGAAGACCAAGGGUUCCUGUCCAACGUUAAUCGGGGCAGGGUGAGUCGACCCCUAAGGCGAGGCCGAAAGGCGUAGUCGAUGGGAAACAGGUUAAUAUUCCUGUACUUGGUGUUACUGCGAAGGGGGGACGGAGAAGGCUAUGUUGGCCGGGCGACGGUUGUCCCGGUUUAAGCGUGUAGGCUGGUUUUCCAGGCAAAUCCGGAAAAUCAAGGCUGAGGCGUGAUGACGAGGCACUACGGUGCUGAAGCAACAAAUGCCCUGCUUCCAGGAAAAGCCUCUAAGCAUCAGGUAACAUCAAAUCGUACCCCAAACCGACACAGGUGGUCAGGUAGAGAAUACCAAGGCGCUUGAGAGAACUCGGGUGAAGGAACUAGGCAAAAUGGUGCCGUAACUUCGGGAGAAGGCACGCUGAUAUGUAGGUGAAGUCCCUCGCGGAUGGAGCUGAAAUCAGUCGAAGAUACCAGCUGGCUGCAACUGUUUAUUAAAAACACAGCACUGUGCAAACACGAAAGUGGACGUAUACGGUGUGACGCCUGCCCGGUGCCGGAAGGUUAAUUGAUGGGGUUAGCGGUAACGCGAAGCUCUUGAUCGAAGCCCCGGUAAACGGCGGCCGUAACUAUAACGGUCCUAAGGUAGCGAAAUUCCUUGUCGGGUAAGUUCCGACCUGCACGAAUGGCGUAAUGAUGGCCAGGCUGUCUCCACCCGAGACUCAGUGAAAUUGAACUCGCUGUGAAGAUGCAGUGUACCCGCGGCAAGACGGAAAGACCCCGUGAACCUUUACUAUAGCUUGACACUGAACAUUGAGCCUUGAUGUGUAGGAUAGGUGGGAGGCUUUGAAGUGUGGACGCCAGUCUGCAUGGAGCCGACCUUGAAAUACCACCCUUUAAUGUUUGAUGUUCUAACGUUGGCCCCUGAUCGGGGUUGCGGACAGUGUCUGGUGGGUAGUUUGACUGGGGCGGUCUCCUCCUAAAGAGUAACGGAGGAGCACGAAGGUUGGCUAAUCCUGGUCGGACAUCAGGAGGUUAGUGCAAUGGCAUAAGCCAGCUUGACUGCGAGCGUGACGGCGCGAGCAGGUGCGAAAGCAGGUCAUAGUGAUCCGGUGGUUCUGAAUGGAAGGGCCAUCGCUCAACGGAUAAAAGGUACUCCGGGGAUAACAGGCUGAUACCGCCCAAGAGUUCAUAUCGACGGCGGUGUUUGGCACCUCGAUGUCGGCUCAUCACAUCCUGGGGCUGAAGUAGGUCCCAAGGGUAUGGCUGUUCGCCAUUUAAAGUGGUACGCGAGCUGGGUUUAGAACGUCGUGAGACAGUUCGGUCCCUAUCUGCCGUGGGCGCUGGAGAACUGAGGGGGGCUGCUCCUAGUACGAGAGGACCGGAGUGGACGCAUCACUGGUGUUCGGGUUGUCAUGCCAAUGGCACUGCCCGGUAGCUAAAUGCGGAAGAGAUAAGUGCUGAAAGCAUCUAAGCACGAAACUUGCCCCGAGAUGAGUUCUCCCUGACUCCUUGAGAGUCCUGAAGGAACGUUGAAGACGACGACGUUGAUAGGCCGGGUGUGUAAGCGCAGCGAUGCGUUGAGCUAACCGGUACUAAUGAACCGUGAGGCUUAACCUUA
rnacentral:rRNA from 1 species